GCGGCCAGAUCCGAAGCCUAAGACAAGGGGGAGGACUUAAGAUCCUCUGGCGAAGGCCUUCGUGGGUUCAAGUCCCACCCCCCGCACCA
rnacentral:tRNA from 1 species